CAUAUUGUAUAUUUUAAUAUUUUACGAGUCCGAAUGUUUAUGAUUACAUUUUGGUUUUAGGACUCCAUUGAUGUAGUUAUAUACAGAGUAUUACUUGUGAACUGUGCCUACUCCUUACCAGUAAAACUCACUCCACAAGUGAGUUUAUUUUCUAUUACUGGUAUUAAAUCAUCCGAACCCUA